rnacentral:miRNA from 1 species
UGACUAGAUCCACACUCAUCCG